rnacentral:lncRNA from 1 species
UUCAAUUUUUUUUUAACUCGACCAAGUAUAUAACUAUGAUCAGGACUCCAAAUAGAGUGUGAUGAGACUCAUUCAGUUGUCGUUUGAACUAAAUGUUUUGAGAAUGUCGACAUAGUAUUCUUGCAGUUUUGUUUUCUCCUCUUUUCAAGGGAAACUUUGUUGAAUUUUUUAUUGUUUUCAAAGGGAAUUUUUUUGUUGCCGAUGCUUAUGAGUUUUUCUAAAGUCAGCUAAAAGUUUUUGUUGGCCACUUCUUUUAUAAAAAAAAUGUGUUGUUUAUUGUAAGAUUGACAAAGAACUUCAUAGUUUAGUUGGAAUCUCCAUUGUUGUCACGUCCUAAGUUGAAUAAGGUAAUUCGGAGAAGGGUAUGUCAAGGUGACAUUUCUAAUAAAGCAGGUCUUUCUAUUACAUUUGUUUUGCAGGAACAUCAAAGAGCUUGUAAAGCAGUUGAGCAGUCCACCUCCAGGUUCAAGAGAUCUGCAUUUUUCAAAUGUCUUUUCACAAAGUUUCGUCGAACAGUUCAAGGCUUGCUUUUGGAAACAAAACAUGUCAUAUUGGAGAAAUCCUUCCUUUAACUUACUCCGCUUUGUUCGAACAGUUGCAUCGUCUUUAAUUUUUGGGAUACUAUUCUGGAAACAAGGAAAAAAGCUGUGAGUAGUCUAUGCAUUUAUUAUUCAUUGUCUAAUUUCAUGAAUGUGAAAGCAUUUUAGAAUCUUUCCAUUUUAGUUCUCAUAGCAUUAGGAGACUGACAGGCAUGUAAACUCUUGGAGGGCAUUUGAGACAUCUACAGUAAAACUUUUUGAAAAUUCUCAUUGUUUACCAUGUCUACUUUUCUGUAUUCAUCCUCUCUUCCUUUGUAACUCAGCUGAAAACAGUCUGCACCCAAAACAGACUCUUAUAACUCAUAGGCUAUAAUAACUAUCCUCAUUCCUUAUUCUCUUUUUGUUUGUGUUUGAAGAGAAAACCAGCAGAACUUGUUCAAUGUUUUGGGUUCGAUGUACACUGCUGUAAUCUUCCUUGGCAUUGACAAUUGUGGAUCAGUCCUUCCUAUUGUAUCAAUGGAGAGAACUGUGAUGUACAGAGAAAGGUUUGCUGGGAUGUAUUCGUCAUGGGCUUAUUCACUAGCACAGGUAUGUAUUCAUUUUAACUUGUUCAAUCUUUUUUAUCCUAAUGGUUUAGCUUUUAGCUUAGAUUUUUUCGUUCAUAGUCCAUAAACAGUUAACUUUGUAUCCAAUGGGAACUUUAAAAAUGUCUAAUAUAUAAUAUUGAUCUCCACGAGCCCUAUGUUCAAAUCCCUUAAAUGUUAUUUCCUUCCCGAUUAAUAUCUAUUUUCAUUUGUUGGGUAAUAAGAUUAACGUAGUAUCAAAGCAAGAGGUUUUGUGUUUAAACUCCAAGAAUAUCAUUUUGCCCCCAAUUAAUAUUGUUUUCUACAUGUUCAGAAUUCUACGAAUUCUCAAACUCAUAAGCGUGGGAGAGUGUUAAAGCAUAGAUAUAACUAAAUUUAUCACAACUCAUAAGCUGAAGUUUUUGCAUCAAUUCGUGAUUUAGCGAUACCUAAUAAGUGAAUACAAAAUGUUUUCUUCUCUACUGUACAGGUGAUUGUUGAGGUUCCUUACAUAUUUAUACAAGCAGCUGCCUAUGUCAUUAUCAUUUACCCAAUGAUUGGAUACUAUGCAUCAGCAACCAAAAUACUUUGGUGUUUCUACUCAUUUUUGUGUGUAUUUCUCUGCUACAACUACCUUGGGAUGUUGCUAAUCUCCAUUACGCCAAACUUUCACAUUGCUAACAUUUUGUCCUCUGCCUUCUUCACCCUCUUCAAUCUCUUUUCUGGGUUUCUUAUUCCAAAUCCGGUAAGCCAUGUUUUAUUAACUGAAGCUCUUCCUUAAUGUUGUUUAUUUUUGCCUUUUUUUCCACCCUAUGAUUGAAACUAGAUCUAUUACUCUAUAAUUACAAGCAAAAGACAUUGGAGACCAAACCCUGAUACUAGACCAGACGAACAAAUCAUAUAUAAGACUUUUCUUGGUUAAAUUAUAAAAAACAAUACCCUUCAACUUCCAUUUGUGUCAAAAAUAUCCUUCUACUUUCAAAAGUUGUAAUAUUACUUAUGAAUAUUUAUGCAGCAAAUCCCAAAGUGGUGGACAUGGAUGUAUUACCUUACCCCAACAUCAUGGAUUUUGAAUUGUUUACUAACUUCUCAGUAUGGAGAUAUAGACAGAACAUUGAUGGUGUUUGGA